CAGGGUGCAGGGGCUUAUGCUGGUAUGGGACAGAACAAUGGAUUUGGAGCAGGUCUUGGUUAUCCAUAUGGGGAGAAACCUGGAUAUGGUCAGGGAGCUUACCUUGGGGCUGGAAAUGGU